GCACGAUAAAUUAAAUACGCGUUAACAAUUGGCUUGCUAGCUAGCUAGCUACUACGGAAACACGGUGCAAACCUAGUCGAACCUUUCUGCAAAUCUAACAUUACUGGAACUGGAAAUCAGUUUAGCUCUAUCAGUUUCUUCCUUCUCAGGGAAGAAAAUGGCUGCCAUUACUUAAAAAAAAAAAGGGAAAAAAAAAGUAUUAAGCUGUGUUUCCUUCUCACUGUUAAAUGUUUAAACAUCCAAAGGUUAUAAAUGCAUUCCUGUUAUAAUGUGAUUACUUUGGAAGCGUGUACAUUUAGUGUGUGCGCUUGUGGUGUGUUCACACCGGUGCGAUAUAGUGCACUAUUUAUUACCGUCGUAUACCUCUGAGAAUAACGUGUGGAACACUGGACACACCAAGCGAGAACACAUCUACGCCUGCGGCUGUUCGAUUCCGGAGUCGACUCGGAUUCUGAUGGGAGUCGAUUCCAUGAGUCGACUCGGAUUCUGAUGGGAGUCGAUUCCAUGAGUCGACUCGGAUUCUGGUGGGAGUCGAUUCCAUGAGUCGACUCGGAUUCUGAUGGGAUUUGAUUCCGUAGUCGACUCGGAUUCUGAUUGGAGUCGAUUCCAUGAGUCGACUCGGAUUCUGACGGGUGUCGAUUCCAUGAGUCGACUCGCCCUUAGAAUUUUCUCCAGUCCAAAAAAGACAGGGGGAAAAAGAUGCCGUUACAACAGGAGUUUGACAGUUAGCAAACUGCAAACUUAGCAAACACCAAUUUAUGUUAGCAAAACGUUCAACCUAGCGUUCAAAAUAAUUGGCAUCAGCGAUCUUUCAGCGCGCAUUAAAAAGUUAUUGCAGGUCAACUCUGGAAACUAGCUAGCUUGUUACUAGAUGUUUGAAGACUCUGUGAAAUGCACAGCGUUAUCUGACGUGUUGAUGUAAUUUCCACUGAAAAAGGAAGUUAGAACAGGACAUAUCGAGUGGCUCUUUCCCCUUUUUAAAUACCCAAUAACUUUUAGCUUACCUCACAGCCCAGGCUACGCCGUACUUAACAGUUAGCACCAUGGAUUAUUAUCAUGUUGGGGGCGGGACACUUCAGGCACUUCCAUAGAGCAUUUGAUUGGAUUUCAUUUUGAAUUUGUAUGUCUUCUAAAUGCUAAUUUUGUCACUGUUUUGGAGCACACUAGCUUAUAAAUAACCUUAAGGUGAACAUAUUUAUACUAAAAGCCACAAAACUGUCAUUUUGAUUUCAUGUGGACUUUAAAGCGACUCCAUUGUUGUCUAGUCUGUUGUUUAAUUCGAACAUUUCGAGAUUUAGCGAAUGCUAGUUGAAUUAGAAUAGCUAAUUGUAACGGGCUAGCUAAAGUGUGCCCGAUUAACUCCCGUCAACUCCCAUGUGGUUUGAUUGUUUGUUGACUUGUUGUUGACUGAACGUUUUAUUUCGUUUUUGCGAGUAAAAUACAGCCGUCCGGCUGCGGGGGCGUGUAGAUGAGGGACGCAGCUUCUGCAAACUACAUGUGGAGACAACUCUCAAUUCCCAGAUGCCUGGAAUCAGAGACCCCGUUUUCAACCCCUAGGCAAACUCCAAACGAAACUCAGGGAGCAUUCUAGAACGUUAAAUUGGUCUUGUUCUAGAACAUAAACUAAUUGGUAUUCUAUUGUUAAUCUACGAAUCAUUCUGGAACACUAAACCAAGGAGUGUUCUGCUGUAGAAUGCUGCCUAGUUUACCUUUCUAGAGCGUUCUAGAACUCUCCUUGGUUUAGCACUACAGAGCGCUUCUUGGUGGUUCUUCUAACGAUGGUUCUCAUAAAGAUAUGUACAGAUGCAUUCAGUCACUUUAAGGAAAGUUCUCUGGCAUAUUUUUUUUAAUUUUUUUAUAUUAAUGCCCUACACAUACUACAGGGAACUUCCUAGAACUCUGUGUGUGUGUGUGUGAGAGAGAGAGAUUUUGGGAAUCUAUAAAAUGUUCAUCAUCUAUUUACUUUAUUAAACUCUUGAAUGCGUAGAAAAUUGCCGUGCGUGUUCACGCCAAGUCCUUUAUAAACCUCUUUCCUAAAGGAAAUACUCUUGUCAGUUUCGUUUUAUAAAUGAUGUUCUUGGCUCAUUGUAUUUAUAGUGAUACAAGUGUGUAAUAAAAUUGUUCUCUUUUUUU
ensembl:lncRNA